rnacentral:rRNA from 1 species
GUAACAAGGUUUCCGUAGGUGAACCUGCGGAAGGAUCAUUACCACACCAAAAAAAUAUCCACGUGAAUGUACUCUUGUAUGAGGUUUGUGUUGCUCUUCGGAGUGACUAGCCGAAGGUUUCGUAAGAAACCGAUGUAUUUUUUAAUCCCUUUUAAAACAAUAACUGAACAAUAAUUGCAAACAGAAAUGUGUGCAUACAAAUUGAAAUACAACUUUCAACAGUGGAUGUCUAGGCUCGCACAUCGAUGAAGAACGCUGCGAACUGCGAUACGUAAUGCGAAUUGCAGAAUUCAGUGAGUCAUCAAAAUUUUGAACGCAUAUUGCACUUCCGGGUUAGUCCUGGGAGUAUGUUUGUAUCAGUGUCCGUUAAUACAAAAUUGUUUCAUUUAUGAAGCAGAAUGUGAAGUGUCUUGCUUCGGCAAGUCCUUUCAAAUGAGUAUUACCUGUACGUCCUUGUGGGAUGCACUAUAUAAAGGUAUAUAUUUUUUUGACUUCGAGAGUUUUGUGUGAAAGUGCACAGCUUUGAAGGAAAAAUAAAUUGCGGUAGUUUUGCUUGUGCUUCGGUACAGGUGAACAACAUAUUGCUUUUUGUUUUUUUGGAAGGGUUGGUACUAGAAGACAAAAUGCGUUGUUGAAUAAUAUAUGCUGGUGCAUUUCUUGAUGUAUGGAGGAAAAUUGGGAAUUAUAUCCAAUUUGGACCUGAUAUCAAACAAGACUACCCGCUGAACUUAAGCAUAUCAAUAAGCGGAGGA